UCUUUACCAAAUAUGGGUAGUUCGAGAGGAGUCUCUCGCGGUUUAAUGGAAGAAAAAAAUACAAGGAUUGGUAAAAGACUGUAGUACUUCCUGGACUGAAAGUCGGAGAAUCCGUCAAAAAUAAUAUUUGCGGAGAGGCAUUUGAAAACGAAAUGAAAUGAAAAGUUUAAAAGUGAAAAAUUCGAAUGUCAGUUAGUCUUGUCAAAAUCUUGAAGGUUUACUAUGCAAUGUUCACUACUGGCAAUUUGAGGAAGACGACUUUUUCCACUUUAAUACCAAUAUGCAUGCGUAGGUCGUGAGUCCCACAUUCGAGUUUUGACAAACACUUUUGAUGGCCAUGAGUUCACGGCUUUGUACAAAAUGCUGAGCAAGAAACGGAAGAAGGCACAAGGGUCAUGAUCACAAGACUGUGAGCUGUUUCAAAGUUGGGGAGGGUACCACGGGCAAACCAUGAUGAAAGCAAUAAUCAGAAGUUUGGUAUUCCUGCAUAAAGGAACAUAAUGUUGCAGGGAAAUACAUAAUCCUCUCUUACUCCUUGAGAGUCAGGCAAGCACAUCUGUUGAUGUCCAUGAUUGCACCUUAAUGACACGCAAGCCUGUUAUGAGGGAUGACACAAUGUUUCCUCAAGUCAAAAUAAUAUUUCAACUUGGGGUUAGAGUUUGUGACUGCCAUUUUUGGGACUGAUCAGGGGGGCAAUUUGAUCACUCUAUGAUACAUAUGACAAGCUUUUCUACAAAUAUGAAGCUUCAGCUAGAGAAAAGGGAUUAACAGACAUUUAUUAUUUUUAUUACAUUUGGCAACUGCUGGUCUACUGGUAGGUUGACGAGAACCAGAUACAUCUAAGAUUGCAUGCAUUUCUCUAACCUAAACAAUAACCCGAUCAAAUAUGCUAACUCUUAAGUUACAAACAGGUGGUUUGCACUAAAUCGGAUACUUUGUGACAUUGACCAAAAUUCAGAGUGUGUCAUUACAAUAAUUUCGGGAUAUACCGGUAAGUGAAGAGAGAACGUUCAGCCCUCACAACUAUAAAAUGAAUAACCCUCCUUAAAGCUCUUUCCCAAUUGCUGAGAUGAGGCUGAAGUUGCACGAAUUUGAAAAUAAAAAAUUAAACUAUCAUGAAAAUUAAACUACUGUAUCAUAACAAGAGAAAUGAUAAACAAAAGCUACAACAGUAAUGCCUACACAAAGUACCUUGGUACAUAUAUUAUGAUAUCAACAUUUAUUCUUUGAAUAUUGGCUUAGCACUCCAUGGCUUGUAUCCAUGUUGGGCAUGUUUUUGUGUGAUCAUUAAACAUUCUUAUGUUGAAGUGUUGUUUAAAAAAGUUAUGCUGCCACUAAACUUAAUUGAUAGUAUUAAAAUAAUCUUUUGGCUAACUUGAAGCUUCUUCUAUGCUUCUUGAAAACAGUAGGUACAUUCUUCCAUUGAACUAACAUUUGGACCAAAUACUGGUAGUUCAAUGUACAUAGGUGGCUCUAUAUAGCUUCUUUUGGUGUGCGAGGAAUAAUUAUGAAUGGCGUGAUUGCACAAGUAUUUAAAAAUAUUUUAUAUUUUGAUGACAUCAGUAAAAACAAGGGUUUUUGAGUGAUCUAAAAACACAUAUUGGAUAGGCUUUUUCUUUCUCUUGCUGUUAGGAAAAAAAUCACCAAAUUUUACACAAACAUUGAUGUAAUAUGCAUCAAAAACUAAAAUUGCGAAUUCCUCCAAAAUUUUUGUACAGAUUUUCUUGUAGCUUUGUCACCUAAAACUCCUUGGAUGUUUAUUCUGUUUCCCCUAAAACAAAGAAAAUUCACUGUGUAGAAACCUAGAAACACAGUCUAGACGUCAGGUAGGUUCAAAAAACAAGCUAAGGAUCUCUAUCAGUAGUUGCCAUAGCAACAACAUUUAGGUUCUGAAAGAGUUUUCCCAAUUUAGUCUAAUGAUGUAGGUUUUUAUUAUCGACCUUCUACCAAGUGCCAUGUGAUAAACAUUUGUCGAUGGAAAAAUUAUUUAUGCAGAUGUGGUAUUCAAACCUUUGUAAAAUAGUAUAUAGAGCCACCUUGGCGAAAUAAAAACAAAUUUGUUGUUUCAAUUAUGCAUGAACAACCAAAGACAGUUGAGUCUUAUCUUUAUAUCAGAAUAAAAAUAACAAGGAGAAAGGAGCUUUUUUUCCCUCACUGUUUCUAAAAAUGUUCAUGAUAAUAAGAUAAUUUAUUGCAGAAGUUGUGAUAUGACUUGCAGAAAGAUAAGGAAAAAAUGGCUUGUUUGAGAUCUUGUGAGGUCAUGUUGACAGGCUUUGUCGACAAGGC